UACGAAGGGGGCUAGCGUUGCUCGGAAUCACUGGGCGUAAAGCGCACGUAGGCGGAUUGCUAAGUCAGGGGUGAAAUCCUGGAGCUCAACUCCAGAACUGCCUUUGAUACUGGCGAUCUUGAGUCCGGGGAGAGGUGAGUGGAACUGCGAGUGUAGAGGUGAAAAUUCGUAGAUAUUCGCAAGAACACCAGUGGCGAAGGCGGCUCACUGGCCCGGUACUGACGCUGAGGUGCGAAAGCGUGGGGAGCAAACAGG
rnacentral:rRNA from 1 species